UACGUAGGGGGCGAGCGUUGUCCGGAAUCAUUGGGCGUAAAGCGCGUGUAGGCGGCUCGUUAAGUCCGGUGUGAAACCUUGGGCUCAACCCAAGCCUGCACUGGAUACUGACGAGCUCGGAGUCCGGGAGGGAGAGGCGGAAUUCCUAGUGUAGCGGUGAAAUGCGGCAGAUAUUAGGAAGAACACCGGUGGCGAAGGCGGCUACUCGUGGACGGUACUGAACGCGAUGAGACGC
rnacentral:rRNA from 1 species